UGGAAUUUUUGAAAAUAUAUGAGGGGGAAGAAUAAAGGUGCCAUCAUUGGAGUCCUGGAAACUAAACUCUCGCAGCACUAUCUGAUGGAAUUGCCUAGAAAGAAGUUCAAAUCCUAGAAAGCAGACAAUAACUUUCAGCAUCACCCAAAUGCAGGAUUUUUGAUUUUUUGGAAGGAGACCAAAGGCAGCCUGGAGAUCAUCGAGAAGUCAGACCAGGUGAUUCACUGCCUGGUCCUUGUAGACCUUCUUCAAUUAAAUUCAUUCAAGCUUUGUUUAUGCUUUCAUACAUUGUGGGUCGAAGAGACCCCUCUGGGAAACCUUAGCCGGUUUUAGACCUCCUCUAUUGGACGUCCUUGGAUGCUUGUUGGGGUGGACUUUAAACAAUUGUUCUUCACAAUGAAUGAGAAAGCCAAUGGGACUCCAGUUACCUCCUAGAGACAAGGGAUUUCAGGUUGUUGUUAUGGACCGGGUUAUUUUCUGAUCUGAGAUUCCUCAGGCGGUCUUCUCACAUGUCCCAUAACUCUGUCUAGAGUAAACUUGAAGAGCUAUGGUCAACAAAAAGUGGAUUCAUGAAGCCUUACAGCCCAGCAAGUUUCGAGUUCCCUGGAAAGUACUCAGACCAUUCCCCAUGCGUAUCACCUUUUGAGUGAAUGAGCGAGGAGUCUCCCAUUUAAAUUCUCAAAAUGUGCUGCUUAAUCAUGAUAAGUUUCUGAGAUAGUCAGCAAUUCUGGGUUUUUUGGAAUGCAGCUGAGAGGAAAUAGCCAUGUUAUAAGCUUGUGUAUAGGAAGCUUUAAAGCCUGCUAAAGAUCCUCUGAGGGACUUAAACAAGAAGCACUUCUCCUAUAUAGCAGCCAGAACAGAGGCUACAAAAGAGGAUUCAUUUAGGCUCAACAGCAAUUGCAUGACAGCCCAAGGGACUAUAAUCUUCAAAUUAAAGUCCGAAGCUGAGAGCUAAAGUCCUUUAAGUUAGCAGAAGCAGAGCUAAGGUUUUGCACCCAGCUAGUAAAAAGCCAAUUUUGAAGAACGCUGAUAAAGGUACGAACUUUUUUAUGAUUUAAUCAAAAGGCAACGAUCCAAAAGCAAUAUGCCUCUAUUCUAUUAGAAGAUGGGAGGCAAGAGAACUACUUCAAGCCAACCAGUGAGUGAGGACUUGUUCAGCUUAGAAAGGGCUCAUGGAUCCAAAGAAAAACUGCUCCGUCUUCACCAAAAAAUAGUCUUGAAGGGCAAGCUUUAAGGGGGCAGAGCAGCUGACAGUCUUUUAAGGGAGGUUACUGACCAGGAAAUAAAAUCUGCCAUAUUCGAUAUUGGAGAAAAAAAAAAUGCCCAGGGCGAGUGGUAUACCUCAUGCUUCUAUAUAACAAGCUUGGGAAUGUUAUUGGGAGGGACUUUAUGGAAGACAGUGAAAGAAUCUUCUCCUCGGGGGAUAUUCUUAAGCAGAUUUAACCAUUCUGUUCUAGCCGUAAUCCCAAAAAACCAAGGAUGCAAACAAGGGUAGAAGAACUUUAGGCCGAUAGCAUGUUGCAAGGUCUUUAAAAAGUCAUCUCCAAAAUUAUUGCUUCAAGAUGGCACACCAACUUUGAGCAGUCUUGAUCCAGCGCACAUCUGCUUUAAUUCAAAAGAAGGGCAUGAUUGAUAAUAUUUUUUUGCUGGCAAGAAGCUUCUCAUGGCCCCGCAAUAUGGGAGAAAAAGAGGUUUCUCCAAGAGCCAUUCUAAAUGUGGACCUGAGUAAGGAGUUUGAUUCCAUGAAUGGUGUCUUUCUUCAAGAAUGCUUCAGAAUUACAUUUCCUCCCAAAUUUGUUGAUGGGAAUGGAAUGUGUAACUACAACCUCCUAUUCUUUCUCUUAUAAAGGGUAAUGCAUGGUCGUUAAGGGUCAAAAGGGGGGGAUGAGGCAAGGUAUCCCAUUUCUCCAUAUCUUUGUGAUAUGCCUGAGAUCUCUCCAGAGGCUUAGGCCAAUUGAAGGAUAAUGCGACUUCAAACUUCCACCCCUAAUGGGGGAGGAUUGAAAAUCACUCACCUAGCCUUGCGGACGACCUUGUUCUUUCUCCAGAGGAGGAUCCCACACAGUUUCUAUGCUCAUGGAAAAAUUCUCAAUCAUUUUGGGGAAUACUUUGGAUUGAAAAGUCAGCUUUGGCCCAAUCAAGUCUAUUGCUGAAGGGGUAAUCAACAAUUUAUGAUAUGGAAGCUAUCAAAGAUAUCACAAAAAUUCAUUUUUUUCUCAAGGAUCCUUUCCUUUUAGGUAUCUUGGAUGGAAUUCCCCGUAGCAGACUCCAGGCUUAAAAUCUUUCCCAGUAUAGCCCUUUUAUGAUAAAAUCACAAAUUAUAUGUGCCUGGCAGGGGAAAAUCUCUCGUAUGCAGGCAGGGAUCGGGAUAGAAUUGGUGAAAGUCCGGAUUCAAGGGGUUUUUGAGUGUUUUUGGCUUUCUAUUCUCCCCAUUCCAGUUGGGGUGAAAGGCCAAAAAUUGUUCAGUUUGCAUGAAUUUUUGAAGAAGAAACUUCGGUGGAAUGGCAACUGCAAUCGCAUAAGCGGCCUUUGUUGGCUUGGGAGAACGGUACCUAACCUAAGUCAGAGGGGGGGGGAUUGGGCAUGCAGAAAUAUCAAAGCUGGAAUAAGGCUCUCAUCUCAAAAACCUUGUGGGGGAUAUUCAGGCGAAGAAGGAUUCCAUCUGGGUUCAAUAGGUCAUCAAAUAAUUUUGAACACAGGGCUCUGGAAUACAAUAGUAAGCAUGGAGCCCUCACCUUAUACAAGAAAAUCAUUUCCUAAGGGAUGAGAUCAUAGAAGCUGAGGAUAAUGUGGAGGGAGCUAUUCAGAGGAUAAAUCAAUGGACUCAAAUGGGGGAGGAGUUCCAAUCCACAAACGGCCCUAUGGACUAUUUAAGGACCAAGGCGAGACAAGCUUGCAUGGCCCAAAAGAUGGCUCAUGAUAGUGUCAUUACUCCCAAGCAUUAUUUUAUUUGUGGCUGGGAUUAAAGGAGAAAGCUGCCUGACAAGAGAUAAGCCUUCUAGGAUGUUAUGAGGAUCUCGUUAUGCCCUCUGGAGAUCAGAGGACAGAAGAAGAGAACAAUUGCUCCAUCUCUUUUGCUGUUGCAGAAAUUGGCAACCAGAUUUGGUAAGAAAAAGCUGGCUGGUGGGAAAUCACCAGGGGAUGCAUUCCAUAAAGCAACGGUAAAAAAUGGAUAAUUUAAAGAGGCCAGAGCACUGUUGGUCAAGCAAAGAUCAGAAAGAAAUCAGUCUUGCCAGCACAUUUACAAUCUUUGCGGGAAGCCAAAAAUCAAAGGAAUUUUUGAAAGGCACAAAGUCAAGAAUCCGAAGGACAAUUAUCAGAUGAUACAAAUUAAAGGUAUGUUGCAUGUACAGUCUGUACCCAGACAUAGAAGCCAUUCACUUGAAGUUCCCUUUUUAGUUCCCUGCUCUUGUUGAGUUUGAGGCCUUAGGCUUUUGGUCCGCUCAGGGGCUUGUCAUGAGUUCUUUGUCACAUUCUUUUUUGAUCAAUUAUAACUUAUUUUCCCGAUCCAAAAAAAAACUAUACAAAAAAUUGUAAAAAUUUAGUAGUUCUAACUUCAUAAUAUUCAAAAGGAAAAAGAGAAAACUAUACUCUUUAGCCGGGGAUGCUAAAAGGAGGUGCAAUGCAAGAAUCAGAAAUAUUUCUAGAACGCAAACAGGACCCAACUACCCUUAAAAUGUAUGUUUGCUAUAUGCGAAUUGUACAACAGUACUUAUAAGGACUAUGGGAUUAUUAAACAGGCGGGCUAGGUAGAAGUAAGUGGGUCAAUUGAUCCUAGUGAAAAAAAAAAAAACUAUUUUAGUACCAACCAAGAAAAAAUUUCACUUUCACCUCCAAUAAAGAAAAAUACACUACUUUGACCCCAACUAGAAAAAAAAAUUAUACUAUUAUCCUAUAAUUUUACAUGUGAUUUUGCCCCCCAAUUUGACACUUCUCUCCUAACUCCAGCACAUAGGAUAAAACAAUGAAUGUGGUCUUCGUGCGGAACCCGUAGCUGUAGAGGUCAAUCGCCCCAUGAGCUUUGAAGAGAGACAGUGGAAGCCGAAGACUGUGUUGGGAGAGGAAGACGGGGACUAGGGCACGAAAAAGUAAGAUGCAAGUCCCAAAUGCCCCCAAUUUUUCUAUAGGGAAUUGAAAAUGGACAUCAUCAAGUUGUUCAAGUGGCGAGGGAGGUAGAAAAAUCGUCCAAUUCACACGGUAAGAGUAUUCACAUCAAAACUUAGCAAAAGGUAUAGCCAAAUUAUAACUCAAAAAUCACAAAUUCUAUUUUAGCUAGUGACUUUUUUAACACAAGUUCAUCAACUUAUUUAUUCUAAUUAAUCCUAAUAGAAAAUUAUUUUUUUACUAUAUUUAUUGGCUUUCUAAAAUUAUUUUUUCCAAGGGCCAUAUUUUCUAAAUGUUCACAUUAUUCCAAUGGUAGUAUUUUUUAAAUGGUAUAUUUUCAAAUGAUCAUCUUUUUAAAACGGUCUUAGUAUUCAAACGAUAAUAUUUUUUUAAAAGUAUAUUUUAACAUUGUCCAUUUAAUAUUUUUGAACCUUUACAUAUUUAAAUGGUCAAUAUUUUUUGAUGUGCUUAUGAAUAGUAUAUGAAUAGAGUGUUAAGUUAAGAAGUUGAUUGGAUAUCAUUGGAAGUGAAAGAAUCUUCAAAGAUGUAUUUUAGUAAAAGUGUAGGAAUUCAAAAAUGUAAUUUAUCAUUUUGAUAUAUUGAUGAAGAAUUGCUAGAAACUGUAACACAUUGCAAAGUCUAGGGUUAUUUUAGCUAGUUGGCAUGAAUUAUUUUUGAAUUUAAAUUGUGCAAAUACUAAAUUAAUAUAAUACUUGGUAAUACCCACUAGACCUAAAUUUUUCUAAUAUAUUUAGUACAUUAAUUGCAUACAAUACUCCCUAAACUAUCAUCUUUUAUUACUUUUAUUCUCUUAUCUAAAAAAUGAAUAAUUUUAUCACUUAUGUCCCUUCUAUUAAUAAUUUAUUUGAAAUAGUGAUGAAAAUCAAUCACGCUUU
rnacentral:lncRNA from 1 species